rnacentral:rRNA from 1 species
GAUGAACGCUGGCGGCGUGCCUAAUACAUGCAAGUCGAGCGACCAGACGAGGAGCUUGCUCCCCUGACGUUAGCGGCGGACGGGUGAGUAACAAGUGGAUCACCUACCUCUAUGACUGGGAUAAUUUCGGGAAAACGGAGCUACUAAUGGCUAAUAUAACCUACCGCUUGGUUCAAUAGAGCAUCGCAGCUUUCCUGUCUCUAUUAGCUGAUUUCGCGUCGCAUUAGCUAGUUGGUAAGGUAACGGCCUACCAAGGCAACGAUGCGUAGCUGAUCUGAGAGGGUGAUCGGCCACACUGGAACUGAGACACGGUCCAGACUCCUACGGGAGGCAGCAGUGGGGAAUCUUCGACAAUGGGCGAAAGCCUGACGCAGCAAUACCGCGUGAGUGAUGAAGGUCUUCGGAUCGUAAAACUCUGUUAUUGGGAAAGAAAAGAAGUGUAAGAAAAUAUGGACGUCUUGACGGUACCUAAACAGAAAGCCACGGCUAACUACGUG